rnacentral:tRNA from 1 species
AGCAAAGGCCACAUUGGGAGAUGGUUGUGGCCUUUGUUAAAAGCUCUGCUUAGGAACUGGGUUUCAGUUUAAGUCUCUCUGUUACCAAAUGCAAGUCCACAUGCCUGAUGCACAGUAAGGCCAAACAAACCGAAAUGUCAGAGUUUGGAACAGAGAAAGGUUUAUUGCAGGGCCCAGCAAGAAGAAAGGGUAGCUUAUAUCCCCAGAACCCCUAAACUCCCUAAAGGGUUUCAGCAAAGCAUUCUUUCUGGGGGUGCUGCAUACAGCUUGCAGAAUCCCAGACCAGGGGUUGAGCUAGGCCAUGGCAGCGAAAGCACCAAGUCCUAACCACUAGACCACCAGGAAACUCCCUCAGCAAAGCAUUUUAAAAGGCAGGGAGAGGGAGGGACGUCCCAGGAUAAGGGAUCAGCUCAUGCACAAUACUGUGAUUGGCUGAUAUUGAGAUAACAGGAUGGUUAACAUUAUCAGUCCUUAGGCACCAGUAGGUCUGGGGGUUCUGUGCUCAUAAUCAUCAAAUAGUUAAUUCUUCCGUUUGGUGAUGGGUUUUGGCAUCUGAAAAACUCAGGAAAUACGCAAGAGAUAUUAUUAUCUGGGACUUCAGAGAGGAGCUACAGCAGAGGAUGUGGAGAAGGCCCCAUAAGCUCCUGAUCCAUCUCUAGACAAGACCCUUUUCUCUAAGGGCCAGUUGAAAGGUGAGCUAUAAAAGGAAAAGCCCACAAAGGGCUCUCAAGAGUAGGACCAGAAAGAAAAAUGGGAGCUAUCUCAGACCCUGAGAAACUGUCUCCACCUUUGGUCUACAUACAAGAGACAGGACGAAUGGAUGCUAUUAGCGACCUCUUAUCAAAUUACGGAAACUCGAUGGCCUUGGUGAUUCCUGUCUUCAUAAAUUUGGCUGUGAGUCAAAAGGAGCCGUUCUUGGGAUGGGGCUAACCUAUCACCCUGUCAGCACCCUUCUUCUUCCUGAGACCAUAUGGCAUGAGGGGAAAAAAGGCCCAGGGAGUCCAAUAGUCAUGUUUCUGAGCAGAAACAUCUGGUAUUAAUUGCCAAGAAGGCAACAUAAACACAGCAAUUCUAGAGUGGCUGGUGAAUGAGAUCAAGCAUCUUUAAACAUGAAGAUGAAAAUGGUAGCCCUUCAGAUAGCAGCUCCAACUGACUUAGAGAAAAUACAUGUUCAAAGGAGUUUGAUUUUAGUCAUGCCUGCGUGCUAAGUUGCUUCAGUCAUGUCCAACUCUUUGAGACCCUGUGAACCAUAGCCCACCAGGUUCCUCUGUCCAUGGGAUUCUCCAGGCAAGAAUACUGGAGUGGAUUACCAUGCCUUUCUCCAGCGGAUCUUCCCAACCCA